UACAGAGGUCUCAAGCGUUGUUCGGAUUCAUUGGGGCGUAAAGGGUGCGUAGGCGGCGCGGUAAGUCGGGUGUGAAAUCUUGGAGCUUAACUCCGAAACUGCAUUCGAUACUGCCGUGCUUGAGGACUGGAGAGGAGACUGGAAUUUACGGUGUAGCGGUGAAAUGCGUAGAUAUCGUAAGGAAGACCAGUGGCGAAGGCGGGUCUC
rnacentral:rRNA from 1 species